UUACUGCUCAGUAACACGUUGCUAACCUACCCUUAGGACGGGGGCAACCCCGAGAAAUUGGGGCUAAUCCCCGAUAGGUGUGAUGUCCUGGAAUGGUAUCACGCCUAAAGGUCCCAACAGCAUGUUGUUGGUACGCCUAAGGAUGGGGCUGCGGCCGAUCAGGCAGUUGGUGAGGUAAUGGCUCACCAAACCUUUGACCGGUACGGGCCAUGAGAGUGGUAGCCCGGAGAUGGAUACUGAGACAAGGAUCCAGGCCCUACGGGGCGCAGCAGGCGCGAAACCUCCUCAAUGCACUGAAGUGUGAAGGGGUUACCUCGAGUGCCGUCUGAAGAAGGCGGCUUUUCCUUGGUCUAAAAAGCCUUGGGAAUAAGAGGGGGGCAAGACUGGUGUCAGCCGCCGCGGUAACACCAGCCCCUCGAGUGGUGGGGAUGAUUAUUUGGCCUAAAGCGUCCGUAGCCGGCCGAGUAAGUUUCCCGUUAAAUCCAGCGUCUUAAGCGUUGGGCUGCGGGAAAUACUGCCCGGCUAGAGAGUGGGAGAGGUAAGCGGUAUUCUGGGGGUAGGGGCGAAAUCCUUUGAUCCCCGGAGGACCACCAGUGGCGAAGGCUGCUUACUAGAACACGUCUGACGGUCAGGGACGAAAGCUGGGGUAGCGAACCGGAUUAGAUACCCGGGUAGUCCCAGCUGUAAACGAUGCACCUAGGGUGGUUGGGUCGGCCACGCGCCGCCNCAGUGCCGCAGGGAAGCCGUUAAGCGUGCCGCCUGGGGAGUACGGCCGCAAGGCUGAAACUUAAAGGAAUUGGCGGGGGAGCACAA
rnacentral:rRNA from 1 species